ensembl:lncRNA
CCCCUUUGAGGAGUCGUGAUGCCUCCUCGCUCUCUCCUCCGUGUCAGCUCUCAGAGGCCUUCCGGCUGGGCCUCCAUCCAUCCGCCCUGCCUCUCCCACAGGGCUCCCUCCAGCCACACAGGACCCAUCUGCCUGGAGGGGCCUCCCUCCCUCCAGUUGACAACCCCCUACUCAUCCUCAAGGCCCAGCUCAAAGACCUUGUUCUCUGUGACGUCAUCAGCGACUGCGCAGAGGCCUGAAGGGGGUUGGAGCAAAGCCUGGAGUGCUGGUGGGAGUGGAUUCCUGGUAGAGGGGACGGCAGAACCUUCCAUGUCCCCCCACCGCUGUGUGGACCAUGAUUGAACACUUCCCACGCCAGGUCCCAUUUGACCCUGAAACAGUCACACAAGAAACGGCCAGGUGUCUUCUGGGGAACAAGACAGCCCCUCGCUGAGGACCGGUGUCCAGGAACAUCAGCUCCGCGGAGGCAGGGAGACUGGUCCGUUUUGUUCACUGUGGUGUCCACCCCUGCCCCCGCCACCCUCAGACAGGGCCUGGAAUGCAGGAGGCGCUAAAUAAAUACUUGCUGUGUGAAUUGGAUGCUUCCUAGAUGAGAUGCAGGCACGUGCCAGGUCCCUGCGGCAGGUCACGUUGUUCCCAUCUCGCAGACCCAUCGGGGUCUCUCCCAGCAGGGCGGGGGCUGCAGGCUUCUGGGGAGGAUGCCCACCUGUCGGUGCCCCGCCCCCGCAGCCUUGGGCCAGGACUGAGGGCGCCCAGGGAAACGCCUCCUCCCUUUGGAUAUGUCACCUGCAGGGAAACAACAGAAUAGGCCGCCUAAGCGACUGGUGCCAGCCUCCCCCAGCGAAGGGAAGAUGGGGACUUCCAAAAACAGGGCAUCCUGAGUCACCCCUCCGAUAUCGCUGCAUUUCCAAGCAUCCGAAGGCUGCCUUUGAACCUUUGAGGGGAGCACAGGCAGAGCAGGAGGUGCAGGGGGACCCCAGGGGCCACCCGACCUGUGAUGAAGGCGUGGGAAGCGCCUGUCGGAGGAGGCUCGGGGACCUGCUCAUCUCAGGGUCGCCCAUCUGCUGCCAUCACCGCAGAACCCAGAGUGUGGCGCCGGGUCUCCACCUCCAUCCUCAUCCUCCAACUCUUCGUCACUCAGCCCCACGCAGAAUGACCGGGCCACUCCUGCUCUCCGUAGCCUUCAGUGGCUCCCUGUUGCCACCGUUCACUGUUGUGAAGCUCUAAGGCAUGGGCUUCAGGCGUCGGAUCCUGGCUCAGUGGAUGUCUUAGCUGAGAGCCCUGGACGAGUUUCUUAGCCUCUUUGUGCCUUGGUUUCCUCCGUAAACCGCGUAACUGCUGGCCAGCCAGGCGCAGUGCUGGGGCUCCGGCGGGGUUGCUGACAGCUGCUGCGGGGAGAGCGGUGGCUGGCCCGCCAUCUGUUGCUGCCUUGUCUCUGGGGUGGCACCUCCUUCCGGCUCCAGCACUUUAUUUAUGGCCGACCAGAGGGCCUUGCUAAAUCCUUUCUGGACUUGGCUCCAUCUGUCAGCCUCUCCUGACUGCGCUGAUCACGGCCUCAUCGCUCUCCUGUCCUCCCGCCGCCCCGCCUGCCUUUUCCAGCCUUUCCGGGGAGGGCGGGGCGCACGACGGGAAGGGAAGUCAUUUUUAUUAAUGGUUGUGAUGACAGUGACUUCUUCAGCACUCACUGCACAUCUUUUAUGCAUCAUCCGUUUCACCCCCCAACAGUUCUACAAGGAGGGCACAAGGGCACCCAUCCCCAUUUACAGUGCAGGAACAGAGAGGCUGAGAGGGCCACCUGAUGUCACACAGCGGGGAGUCAGCGGAGGGCUGGGAUGUGAACCCAGGCAGCCUGGCUCUGGAGUCUGUGUUCCUCAGCCUCCACCUUGCUGCUUGGCCACUGUGUUAUUACCAGAUAGGGGACAAGGCAAGGUCACAGGAAGGCAAAGUCCUCUGCCCAGUCAGUCAGUCAUUCAACAAGUGUUUCCCAGACCCUAAGCACUGGGGGCACAGAGAUGCUAACUGUCAAUAACGUUUUCUGGGCACCCAUUCAGUUAAUCUUCUCAAGUAAAAUGCAUACAAGUCAGGUGCUAUUAUUAACCCUGUUUUACAAAUAAGGAACAGGCACAGGGGCGUUAAGCGACUGCGUAAGGUCACACAGCGCAUAAGUGGGUAAAACAAGGUUUGUUUGGGCCCAGCUGUCCCGGCCUUAGAGAUGCUCAGAGCCUAGUUGGGGAGAUGAAAGGAGUCUGGCUGUCACCACACAGUGCUGGAGGAUCCCGAGGGAGCCCUGGGGAAUCGGAACCUGGGCAGGAGGCUGACAGGCAGACGUGUGGGGAGCGGCCCUCCCUGGAGGUGGGGUGGGGAGCUCUGUGUGCAGAGGCCUGAGGGUGCCCAGUCUCCACCAGCCCCCCACUCACCCGGCAGACAUGCCCCACUGCUGCUGUGCUGGCCUCUGGGGACACGGUGUGAACGGGCUUGGCUGUUGCCCCGGGGGGGCACUGAGUCCUCCAUCC